rnacentral:lncRNA from 1 species
CGACAGAGAAAACACCCAGCAAAUGGAUACUCCGGACGCUGGAAGUGUGAGCAAAGUGCAGAGAAAAUUUGGUUAACGGCGGAGAAACGAGUAACAAGAUGGUGAAGACUCCAGUCUAGGGAUUUAAAACGAAAAGGGGGAAAUGGAAGCAUUUAAGUGAUGGGGACGCCAGCUCACUCACCGUACAUCGAGGACAGAUAGCCCGUCGUUUCAAAUUUCAAAUACGAAGAAUCGGGAGAUGCCACGUCACCAACCGUUACAAGAGGCCGGGCUAGAUGCAAGCCCAGGUGCGCAGUGGACAUGCUCAUUUAGGCCCACGCCCAGAUCAAAAUCUCACCUGAAGAAAAAUGAAUUGCUCAGGUCCGUCCCGGUAGACAGAAGACCAGAGGAGAAAUCCCCGGAUUGGUAAGAGUCGACUAUCAGUUUCUACUCUUGACUCAUUUCACUCACAAGACCAGAAACUGGGGGACUGGUGUUAAGCAAAUAAAAGCACCCGGUCGGC